GUGCACCAGUCGAGAAUACUUUACAAUGUGCGAAAGCACGAUAAGGGAACUCUGAGUGCCUCCUAAGGAGGCUGUUCUGAUGUCUAAAAAGCAACAGAAGUAAGGGCUGGGUAAGACCGGUGCCAGCCGCCGCGGUAACACCGGCAGCCCAAGUGGUAGCCACGUUUAUUGGGUCUAAAGCGUUCGUAGCCGGCCAGGUAAGUUCCUUGGUAAAUUUAGCCGCUUAACGGUUAAGCUUUCAGGGAAUACUGCUUGGCUUGGGACUGGGAGAGGUCAGAGGUACUCCGGGGGUAGGGUGAAAUCUAUUAAUCCCUGGGGGACCACCGGUAGCGAAGGCGUCUGACCAGACCGAGGUCCGACGGUGAGGGACGAAGGCUAGGGGCGCGAACCGGAUUAGA
rnacentral:rRNA from 1 species